UUUUUUUUUCUUAAGACAGAGUCUCCCUCUGUCACCCAGGCUGGAGUGCAGUGGCUCGAUCUCGGCUUGCUGCAACCUCUGCCUCUCGAGUUCAAGUGAUUCUUCUGCCUCGGCCUCCCGAGUAGCUGGAAUUACAGGCGCCUGUCACCGCGCCUGACUAUUUUAUUUAUAUUUUUAAGUACAGAUGGGAUUUCACCUUGUUGGCCAGGCUGGUCUUGAACACCUGACCUCACAUGAUCCACCCGCCUCGACCUCCCAAACUGCUGGGAAUACACGCAUGAGCCACGGUGCCCGGGCCAUAUAGCUAUUUAAAUUUGACUAAAAUUAAAUAAAAUUAGAAGUUCUCAUUUACACUUCAAACAUUCAGUUACCCACAGGCGGCCACUGACCAGAGGCUGGUAGAGAUGUCACACUCCACACUGCAGAAGGAUCUAGGGACGAAAUGGCUCUAAGAUCAUCUCGACAUCUUUAUGUUGAAGCUACUGAAGUUUUACUCUGGUUAUUAUAGACAUCAGCAUUCUCCCACUUAAAAAUAUCAGUGCUAUUGCAAUGAUCAGCUCUGUGACUUCCCAUCAGCUCUUCUCUUCCUGGACAGAUAACUGUAGAGCAUCUGCACUCUGCCUCCACACUAAGGGGUAGUAGAAGGCUCCGUGUAAAAUCAGGGGGAGAAAAAAAAAUGAAUCCCUAGUCCGCCUCCCCCCCUACGAUUUGGUGAAACUCCUCUUAAUAUGCAGAAUAACUGCCAGAGUUGCAAUAAAGAAGCAUCCCUUGACCAGGAAGCAGCAGGGAAGAAGAGGAGGGAGAUGCAAAGACCCUCCGUUCCCUCUGGGACCCCAGGCCCAGCCAGGACUGAGAAGGGCCGCACAGCCCGGCAGACCCGCACACCUGAUGCGAACCAUACACACGGCUUCCCUGGGCCUCGGUCCCCUGCUCUGCCCUCACUGGCCACUGUGGCUCUGGGUAGAGGCAGCUCCCUGAGCCCCAACACCCACAGCCAGUCCCCUCCUUGCAGGUCUCAGCUGUGCUCUCACUGCCUCCCUGACGCUUCUCAUCAUCCGCAUACCGUGUCCACUCUACCCCACAGCCCUUGCUACCGCCCACCCCACCACGGAGCCUAGCACACAGCAGGUGCCCGAGACGCCCCAGUGGGCGGGCAUGCCAGCGUAGGGCUUGGAGUUCCAAGGGCCUCGUCCCGCAUACCACCACAAACGCCACGGAGGCUGUGGAAGGGGUCCAGGUUUCAGGCCUGUACUCAGCUUCUCCUGGCCCCCGAGGCCAAGAACCUAGCAAGGGAGCGCAGCCGGAAGCAGGGUCCCAAACCCCCUUCAUGCUCCUCAAGAGGAAGGGGGCACAACCCCACGAGCAUCUUCCUCCUGCCAGGCUGCCUGUCACAGCCCCGACACCUUCACAGCAGGGAAACCCACUCCUGUGAGGAGAAAACCACCAAGUACAACAGGAGCCACGUCCCCCGCAGCGUCUGCUGAGCCCAGUAGCGACGGCAGCAGCCGGGCCCCCACUCAGCACACACCGACCUCAACCCGCCACGCACACCACAAGGCCGACCAUCUUGAAGCUCAGCUUCCACUCGUCAGGGCCCUCCUUCCAGGAGAGCUCGGCAUGUCUAUCUUCCCUGGGCUCACAGAAAGGAGUGGGACCCAACCCCGAGUGUGCACAAAGUUAAGCUCCCACUAGCUGUGCAGACAACCUCCCUAGCCCUGGACUGAGAAGGGGCCAAGCGCAAACAGCCAUAUUUUGCCCGCACAGGUACGGAAUUCAGUCAGCUCUCUCAAUGAAGUCGUGACAGGUCAACUCCAGGCUCCUCAGUGCUCUGGGGUUCACCUCGGGCCACUGCACCUUUGAAACGUGGCUGUGGACUCCUCUAGGGUGCUCACUUUCACGGCCCAUUUCAUUCAGACACUGCAGGCCCCUACCGUGGUGUCAAUACCCAGGACACCCCUGCUGGCAUCCCCUGAGAUGCUGCUGCAGCUGCAGCUGCUGUUAUCUGAGAACAGCCAUGCACAGGUAUCAAAGGGAGGACUUCUCAAGUCUCCUCCAGGGGCAGUGACUACAGCUUUGAAAGACGUUGCACUGAAUCCUGGGUGAGCCUGGCUUGGUCCGCAAUCUAAUCCGGGUUCCUGGGGAGACACACUCUGUUGUAAUUGACAGAGGCUGUAGGUGGCAGCUCUACCAAGACUGAUAAUUGCAACUAGUCUGAGAUUUACUAUCCAUACUUUCUAUUUGAUGUUUCAAAGGAAAGCAUCGUGAAGUUCCAGUAGCAAGGAAUUUUCUACAAUCUAUCACAUUAAGAUACAGCAGAAAUGUAGCUAAAAUGUUCAUAGGGUCUAUGCAGAGGAAGAGAUGGGUCUAUUUCAGGAAAAGUGCUUGCUGGCUUUUUAGAAACAUAGUGAAAUCCCUGACAAGUAAAAGGUUGUUUAUACUUUUUCUUUGGAACAGAGGGAAAGUUCUUUCUUAUUAUUUGAAUACAUUAACUAUAUUUAAGUGUUCUGGUAGACUGAGUAUUAAAUAUUCAAAAGGAAGUAAUUCUGUUCGGUCUAUUUCAUUCUUUAAAUGUAGCUUUCAAAAACUGACAAAUACCUGGCCGGGUGCAGUGGCUCACGCCUGUAAUCCCAGCACUUUGGGAGGCCGAGGCUGGUGGAUCACGAGGUCAGGAGAUUGAGACCAUCCUGGCUAACACGGUGAAGCCCUGACUCUACUAAAAACGCAAAAAAUUAGCCUGGUGUGUUGGCGGACACCUGUGGUCCCAGCUACUCGAGAGACUGAGGCAGGAGAAUGGCGUGAACCUGGGAGGUGGAGCUUGCACUGAGACGAGAUCACACCACUGCACUCCAGCCUGGGCGACAGAGCAAGACUCCAUCUCAAAAAGAAAAAAUAAAUAAAAGUGGAAAACCCCAUAUCUGC
ensembl:lncRNA